CUGCCGCCCCCGCCCCGGGGUCGCGCUCCCCUCCCCGUGCCGUGGCCGCCGCCUCUUCCGCCGCCGGGCUCGGGGCCCUCCGCAGCGACAACAUGGAGGCCGUGAAAACCUUCAAUAGCGAGGAUUGUGCCUCUACUCCUGCUUGUACAGACUGCUUUUCCAGCAGCAUGGACACAAGAAGCAUAUUAUAUUCCCUGAAUGACUAUAAACCACCCAUUUCUAAAGCGAAAAUGACCCAAAUUACAAAGGCAGCCAUCAAAGCUAUUAAGUUCUAUAAACAUGUGGUACAGAGUGUUGAGAAAUUCAUUCAAAAAUGUAAACCAGAAUACAAGGUACCUGGACUUUAUGUUAUUGAUUCCAUUGUGCGACAAUCUCGACAUCAGUUUGGGCAAGAAAAGGAUGUUUUUGCACCCAGAUUUAGUAAUAACAUCAUUAGCACUUUUCAGAAUUUAUACCGUUGUCCUGGUGAUGACAAGAGUAAAAUAGUGAGAGUAUUGAACUUGUGGCAGAAGAACAAUGUGUUUAAGAGUGAGAUUAUUCAGCCCCUUCUGGAUAUGGCGGCAGGGAUUCCUCCCCCAGUUGUCACUCCAGUGCUGGCCAGCACUACUGCUGCUAUGAGCAAUACUCCAGGAACUCCUGUGACACCCGUGACUCCAGCCAAUGUAGUCCAAGGCUUACCUGACCCGUGGGUAUCUCAGAUAACAAAUACAGAUACACUUGCAGCUGUGGCUCAGAUCUUACAAAGUCCUCAAGGCCAACAGCUUCAGCAGUUAAUCCAGACUUUACAGAUACAGCAGCAGAAGCCUCAGCCUUCCAUUCUGCAGGCGCUGGAUGCUGGUCUUGUUGUGCAGCUGCAGGCUCUUACAGCACAGCUCACUGCCGCAGCAGCCGCAGCCAACACACUUACUCCCCUAGAGCAGGGCGUCUCUUUUAACAAGAAGUUGAUGGAUAGGUUUGAUUUUGGAGAAGAUUCUGAGCAUAGUGAAGAACCCAAAAAGGAAAUUCCAACUCCUCAGCUUUCCCAUGUUUCAGAAUCUGUGAACAAUUCCAUCUUUCAUCAGAUAGCAGAACAGCUUCAACAGCAAAACCUUGAACAUCUUAGACAGCAGCUCCUGGAGCAACAGCAGCCUCAAAAGGCAACUCCUCAGGAUAGUCAAGAAGGAACAUUUGGGUCAGAGCAUUCAGCAUCACCAUCACAAGGGAGCAGUCAACAGCAUUUUCUUGAACCUGAAGCAAAUUUGGAUGAUUCCAUAGAUAUUCAGCAACAGGAUAUGGACAUAGAUGAAGGGCAGGAUGGAGUGGAAGAAGAGAUUUUUGAACAAGAAGCUAAGAAAGUGGCUGUUCGCUCAAGAUCAAGAACUCAUUCACGAUCUCGUUCAAGAUCACCGAGAAAACGAAGGUCCAGGUCACGAUCUGGUUCUCGUAAGCGUAAACACAGAAAGCGCUCGCGUUCACGAUCAAGAGAAAGAAAGAGAAAGUCAUCACGCUCAUACUCCAGUGAAAGGCGAGCCAGAGAGAGAGAGAAAGAACGGCAGAAAAAGGGAUUACCUCCAAUUAGAUCUAAAACACUAAGUGUAUGUAGUACUACUCUCUGGGUUGGCCAGGUGGACAAGAAAGCAACACAGCAAGAUUUAACCAAUCUAUUUGAAGAAUUUGGACAGAUUGAAUCCAUUAAUAUGAUUCCUCCCAGGGGAUGUGCUUAUGUCUGCAUGGUUCAUCGACAAGAUGCAUUUAGAGCUCUUCAGAAACUUAGUUCGGGGUCAUAUAAAAUUGGAUCCAAGGUCAUUAAGAUUGCCUGGGCUUUAAACAAAGGUGUAAAAACGGAAUACAAACAAUUCUGGGAUGUGGAUCUAGGAGUUACAUAUAUCCCAUGGGAAAAAGUUAAAGUGGAUGACUUGGAUGGCUUUGCAGAAGGAGGCAUGAUUGAUCAGGAGACUGUAAAUAGUGAGUGGGAAACUGUGAAAAGCUCAGAACCUGUCAAAGAGACGGUCCCGACAACACAGAGUCCACCUCCAGUUGAAAAGGAGACAGUAGUGACGACCCAGGCAGAGGUUUUCCCACCACCUGUUGCUAUGUUGCAGAUCCCAGUAGCACCAGCUGUGCCUACAGUUAGUUUAGUCCCACCAGCGUUUCCUGUGUCAAUGCCAGUUCCUCCCCCUGGGUUCAGUCCAAUACCUCCACCUCCUUUUCUGCGAGCAAGUUUUAACCCUUCACAACCACCUCCUGGUUUCAUGCCACCGCCAGUUCCCCCACCCGUAGUACCACCCCCUGCAAUUCCACCGGUAGUACCAACAUCUUUAGUGCAACCACCAUUAUCUAUGACCCCAGAAACUGUGAAAGAUGUUGGAUUUGGUAGCCUUGUUUUGCCAGGUGGUUCUGUUGCCAGCAGCCUUGCUACUUCCACUCUGCCACCUGGAAAUGUUUUUAAUCCUCCAGCUAAGCAAGCAGAGCCUGAAGAAAAAGUACCUCAUCUUAUAGACCACCAGAUUUCUUCUGCUGAAAACACCAGACCAGUGAUUCCAAAUGAUAUUUCAAGUAAUGCAGCAAUUUUAGGAGGACAGCCGCCCAGUGUCACAAGCAAUUCUGGAAUUCUGGGAGUCCAGAGACCAAAUGUAUCCAGUAAUUCUGAAAUUCUUGGAGUCCGGCCAUCUAAUGUUUCCAGUAGUUCUGGGAUUAUUGGAGCCCAACCACCAAAUAUUCUAAAUAACUCCGGAAUUUUGGGAAUUCAGCCUCCAAGUGUGUCGAGCAAUUCUGGACUUUUGGGAGUGCUACCCCCAAAUAUGCCUAACAGUUCUGGACUUGUAGGAGUACAGCCACCAAAUGUUCCUAAUACGUCUGGACUUUUGGGAACGCAGCCACCAGCUGGACCUCAAAACUUACCCCCUUUAAGUAUCCCCAGUCAAAGGAUGCCUGCAAUGCCAAUGUUAGAUAUUCGUCCAGGACUAAUUCCACAGGCACCUGGACCAAGAUUCCCUUUAAUACAGCCUGGACUUCCUCCCCAGCGGGGAAUCCCUCCCCCCUCGGUACUUGAUUCAGCUCUUCAUCCACCACCCCGUGGACCCUUUCCUCCAGGAGAUAUUUUUAGUCAGCCAGAAAGACCUUUCCUAGCUCCUGGAAGACCAAGUGUAGACAAUGUCACUAACCCAGACAAAAGGAUACCACUUGGGAAUGAUAACAUUCAACAGGAAGGAGAUAGAGAUUACCGCUUUCCUCCUAUAGAAACCCGAGAAAGCCUUAGCAGGCCUCCCCCGGUGGAUGUUAGGGAUGUGGUCGGCCGCCCUAUAGAUCCAAGGGAAGGUCCUGGGAGGCCUCCAUUAGAUGGAAGGGAUCAUUUUGGAAGACCUCCUGUAGAUAUCAGAGAGAAUAUUGUGAGGCCAGGAAUAGAUCAUCUUGGUAGAAGAGACCACUUUGGCUUUAAUCCAGAGAAGCCUUGGGGGCACAGAGGAGAUUUUGAUGAGAGAGAGCAUCGAGUUCUGCCUGUAUUUGGUGGUCCAAAAGGCUUACAUGAAGAAAGAGGUAGAUUUCGGGCUGGAAGCUAUCGCUUUGAUCCGAGAAGUGGUCCUUGGAACAGAGGAUUUGGACAAGAAGUUCACAGAGAUUUUGAUGACCGCAGAAGACCCUGGGAGAGGCAAAGGGAUAGGGAUGACAGAGAUUUUGAUUUUUGCAGAGAAAUGAAUGGAAAUCGUCUUGGACGAGAUAGAAUUCAAAACACUUGGGUCCCCCCUCCUCAUGCUCGGGUUUUUGAUUAUUUUGAAGGGGCCACUUCUCAACGAAAAGGUGAUAAUGUGCCCCAGAUUAAUGGUGAAAAUACAGAGAGACAUGCUCAACCACCGCCUUUACCAGUGCAGAGUGAUCCUGAACUUUUUGAAAAACUGGCAUCUUCAAGUGAGAUAAACAAGGAGAAGAGUGACACAGUUGCUGAUAUAGAAAGUGAACCAGUGGUGGUAGAAAGCACAGAAACUGAGGGGACAUAAUCAUCACUCAGUAGCAAUUCCUCCAGAGACUCGGAAUGUCAUUGUGAUGAGCACUGAGAACUAAACAAACGAAUGAUUGGAUUCCAAAGCCACUCAGAUAACUCCAGACUUACAAGGAACCCUGACUUAUUUCAAAGUACUUAUCCAGGACCUUCGUUAUUCCUUAACACAGGAGGUAAAAGCAAAGCAAGAUGAUGCAUGAAGUCCUGGCAGCCUCCCGUGUCCCAGGCCUUGUAGAAAUAAAUGACGUGCUUCAAAGUUCUAAUGUGCAUCACAUCGGAUCUUGGUUAAGGAAGCGUUAAAAGGAACCCGCCAUUCCCUAUUGAGAAGGCUGUGUGCUCUCAGGCGUUGUUUGUGAUUGAAUCCAGAGGUUGCAAGCGUGCCUCCCUGUAUUACCUGUUGGAGCAGGUUUAAUUUUAUAAAUUUUAAACACAAACUCUGUGAGUUUCUAGUUCAUAAUUGUUCUUUUUGAGGAUCCACUCAGACGAACAGUAUUGCAUCUGUAAGAGAUACACACUUCCGCAGGACCAGGACUGGCUGGAAUAUCAGUGGCAAGAAACUCCAUCUGUAGCGUUGUCCAGUACCAGUGACAAAAGGAAGGAUGGCAAGGAAGGCCUUCAGGGAGAGAAGCCGGUGUUGUGUUGAAACUACAGAUUACCAGGACCAUAGCUUUAGCCCACCAGGGCUGUGGUCUCCAACAUGAUGCGCGUAGACUGUGGAGCUCUUGACUGGCGGCUUUUGUCCAUGAUUGUUAUCUCCUUGGAUGCUCUCGAACUUUUGAAAAUCUUACACUUUCAUUUAAAAAACAAACAAACAAAAAAUUAAUGCAGCUUUGAGAAAAUCUAGGAGCCAGAAUUGUCUUCCGGGUGUUUCACUCCCGUCUUCCUGUCCUGUUAUUACAAAUAGCAGGUGCCCAGGUGGUCGACCAGAAGCCUUGAAGGAGAGUAAGGAAAUGACCAUGAACAGGCAGAUUGCAUAGUAUCGUAAACAUACUUUAUAAGUACAUUUCUUAUUAGCUUCGAAUUCAGGCAGAGAUGAUUAAAAUGUUGCAAGUAUCCAGACCAGGAUCUGUGUUUUGGAAAUCUAUCAGUAUUCACAAUACCUGCAGGGGAGAAAAAAAAAUUACAAAAAAUCAAGUAUGAGCACUCAUUUCACCCAAAAGAAUAUUUUUAUCAUUCUUUUAUUCGUUUUGGCUCUGUCAAAAAUUAAAGUGCUUGGAAUGCUGUAGUCUGUGGUCUCUUGAAAUUUAAUCAAUGAGAACCUAACACUUUCACAGUAUGCUGUCACUUUGGACGUUCAUAAUAAAAACUGAAACUAAUUUUGGUU